UACGUAGGGCGCAAGCGUUGUCCGGAAUUAUUGGGCGUAAAGAGCUCGUAGGCGGCCUGUUACGUCUGCUGUGAAAUCCCGGGGCUUAACCCCGGGCGUGCAGUGGAUACGGGCAGGCUGGAGGCAGGCAGGGGAGAACGGAAUUCCCGGUGUAGCGGUGAAAUGCGCAGAUAUCGGGAGGAACACCGGUGGCGAAGGCGGUUCUCUGGGCCUGUACUGACGCUGAGGCGCGAAGCGUGGGGAGCAAACAGG
rnacentral:rRNA from 1 species